UACGUAGGGUGCAAGCGUUGUCCGGAGUUAUUGGGCGUAAAGAGCUCGUAGGCGGUUUGUCGCGUCUGCCGUGAAAGUCCGGGGCUCAACUCCGGAUCUGCGGUGGGUACGGGCAGACUAGAGUGAUGUAGGGGAGACUGGAAUUCCUGGUGUAGCGGUGAAAUGCGCAGAUAUCAGGAGGAACACCGAGUGGCGAAGGCAGGGUCUCUGGGCCAUUAACUGACGCUGAGGAGCGAAAGCAUGGGGAGCGAACAGGAUUAGA
rnacentral:rRNA from 1 species